AUUUAUUUGGCAAAAUUAUUCAGUCCAGCUUUUAAAAUUACUACAGCCAUGCACAACUUACAAAAAAGCAUAGUAAGAGAAUAUUAUAUACCAAAUAACCUUUAUGCAAACAAAUCAAUGAACAUAAUGCAAAUGUUACAAAGCAAUAUCUAGCUUUAUGGAAAAGGUAUAAUGCAGCUAUUACUAUGUUAAAAUCGAUCAUCUUUUAAACAUCAUUUCUUAACUUUCCAAAAUGCAUAGAAAACUGAGAAAUUUAAAAAAUAUACUUACCCUUCAAUUUAUUUAGAAACCUCUGCUCUUGGUGAAAAGCAGAAAUUAUUUCACUGCUCACUUUCCCUGAAGCUAUGAACUUAAACAUUAAAUCAGUGAACACCACCUCUGGACCACACUAGUUUGUUAGACACUACUGCUAUGUGGAAGAGUUCUGCUGCAUCUAAGCUAUAUACGGUGUGCAAUGGAUAACCUAAUAUGCCUUUCAUUUAACUGGCUGGGCAGGUUUCUACCGUCUGUGGAACAUGGAAUCAAACCAGAAUAUGUUGGCACAACAGGCCAGUAAAACCGGUUCUUCCGUAGAUCCAGAACCUGUCCAACCAGUCUGUAUCAAAGGCUAGCCCAACAUGCUGCAGCGGCUCAGCUCUGCUAAGCUUGUACUGGGUGCUGCUUUAGAAGCUCCAGACUUUGAACUUGGCAUUCUUCCAGUGAUGGCAAUGGCUGCUGCCAUCACGUCGGCCUCAGCAGGGAGGAGCAGCUGGGGCUGCACAAGCCAAAGAGCCGGUGGGAGCCACGCCCCUUCUGAAUCGGGGCAGGAGCUCCCUGGGUGCUGCUGCCCCUGCCCAAAUUGUGACUGCAGACCCAGCCCUCCUGCUCUAUGGAGCAGGCAGAAGACCUGCCCUCCUGGGUGGGGCUACAGCCACCCAAAUUGCAGCUGCGGAUUGGAGCCUCCCAGUGAUCUUGGGUGGGGGCCAGAAACAGACAGGAUCUGCCCUCCUGGGUGCAGCUGCAGCAGGCAGACCCGAGGCUGCAGACCUGGCCCUCCUGUUUCAUGGAGCAGGAACAGGGGACAAGUGGGAGCCCCGCCCACUUCCGAGUUGGUGGGGCUGGAGCUCCCGCCCUCCCAGGCGCAGGAGGACCCUGGCAUCCUUGCAGCCUGUACCCUGGGGCUGGGGGCGGUGGGGAGGGUCAGGAAAACCCCUCCCGUUUCCUUUCCCAGCGUCUUCUGGGAUAUCUGAG
rnacentral:lncRNA from 1 species